GGAGCUCCCGCCAAAUUUGAACGGCGUAUUCCGUUUGCGAUGGUAGCGGGAGAUUAUUGAAAGUUUCCUCCCUCCGCUCGACCGUCGUCUGCGUUUUCAUGAGCGUAGCUAUCUCUGGGGCAGGAAGAGACCGCUGCCUCCAUGUAAGAGCAACUCCGGCAGGGCCAGGCUUCCGUGACUUGCGAAAAGGGAUGGAUAAUUGUACUUUUCCAAGAUACAGUGACAAUGACAUUGUGGUACACAUUCGCAACUGUUUAUUAAGUGGAAAUGAGGCUAAAUUUUUUUCAAAAAGUGAUUUAUUUCCAAAUGUAAAGCCUGAAAUAUUGCGUAUGAUUUUCAUGAGAGUUUUACAAAGUGUGUAUGGAAUCCGUGUGGAACAUUUUUACACGAUGCCAGUGACAUUUGAAACAGCAUAUCCUCAGAUUUUUGAAGGCUUUUUACCCAUAGGAAAUCUAUUUGUUAAUAUGGAGCGAUUUUUCCCCAUCUGUCGUGUCAAUGACUUCCAGAUUGCAGACAUUAUACAUCCAAAAGCAAACAGGACAGCUCGGUUUUUGAGUGGUAUUUUUAAUUUUCUAUACUUCUGUGAUUCACGGCGUGAAGUCUACUUGGAAAUCCAGAAUGUACAUAAAACAGCAAUGGAGAAAGAGCAACAACUUCAGGUGGCAAUCCAGGAUGCAACACUGAAGCUGGAAAAGAUGGAUAUUGUUCCUGCAGACCAAGAAGUAGAGUUCAAGGAGCUGUCUCAAGAAAUUCAAGAACUACAGCAUAAACUCAACCAAGAAUAUCGGCAGAAAACAAAUGUUUUGCAAGAAAUGAUCCAUCAAAAAAGAAUGGAAAUUGCAGAAAAAAAUCAAAAUUUAAAUGAUCUGAAAAUGGCAAUUUGUUAUCUGAAACAAGAACAAGAGCAACUGAAGUCCAGGAUUACAGAAUCUCCAGAGAAACUCACUAAUUGCAGGGAACGAAUGAAACAGACACAGCAGAAGAUUAAAAAAGACAAGCAAGAAGUAAUUGAGAAGUAUGAAUCUUACAGAGACUUGGUAGAAAUGUUUCCAUCGUGUCAACAGGAGGUCCAAUUUUACGGGAAAAAAAUGCAAACACAAGGAACAAAUAUGGAUAAGCUUUCAAAUAUAUUGGCCCAGAUCAGAACGUUAGAGGACCAGAUUGAGAAUAGCAAAAGUGGAUUCAAGAAUGCUAAGACGGAAGAAAUGUCAUUGAAGAGAUUAGUCUCAGUUAAACGUGAAAAAUUUGCUGCUGUUGAAAUCAAACUUAAAAAGAUAUAUGAGAAUACUGAGCUGCAGAAACAGGCGAUAACUGAAUGUUGCAAUAAAUUUCAAGAGAAGAGAGGAGCUGUCUGUGAAAAACUGACAGCAACAGACACAGAAAUAAUGCAACUCAAAGGUGCCAUUCAACAGCUCAGUGACAAUGUUGGGAAAGAGAAGGUGAAAGAGAAGUACUGUUGGAAGAAAUAUCCAUCUGGUUCAGUUCCAAGCUGGAAAGAGGACACUGGAAACAUGGAUGCUGAUUGGAAAGACAGGUUUAUUGAUGAAGCAGAACCACCAACCACAUGUGAUUCUGGGCAGCUGACAAAAUGAAGUUGAGAGUGGGUGGGUUUGUAUAUCUUCUUUGGGCUUUGUAUUUGAGCUUCUUGUUCCUGUGCAAGAACAUGUCCUUUAAGAUUCUAUUGGCUGUUGUCAAUUUUCCUAUGGGGUUAUGUAGGGGUCAUGCGUGGCUCUAUAGGUGUCAUGUCCCAGCAUAUAACUUUUAUAUACUCUAGCCCCAUCUAGUGGCCAGAGGGACAAAUAUGCUCCAAUAUACAAUCUUUAUAUACUGUUGUUGUGCUCUAGCCCCAUCUAGUGGCUGGAGAAACAAAAUACCAAGUAUAUUGUUUGAAACUGACCCAAUCCAUUUUACCCAUCAGUCCACACUCUCAAACCAAGUGCAUGCUGGGAAGUCAGACUCCAUUUUCUUUAGCAUUUGGAGAAGGCAGAAGCAUAAAGAAGAAUCCAUCUUAAUCUGUGGAACAUGGUCAUUCAAGGACAAACCCACAUCCCACACACGGAGCAUCAUUGGUGAAAUUUAAAUUGCUUGUAUUUAUUAAUUGUUAUGCUCAGCAGUAACUUAAUACUGUCCGUCUUGUAUUUGAUUCUCAUUGUAUGUUUCCCUAUUUUCCCCAGUUUCACCAUAUCCUGUUAUUUCAACUCAGAUCUACGCAGAUGGUCUGUUUUAUUGGAGGAUAGGGUAGCAAGAACCUGAAGAGUCUGAGUGGGCAGUUUGAAUUUGAAGAAAUCAAAUAUUUGGAUUAUAAACUGGGCAGUAAGAUUUGAAAAAAACAACAACAACAAGAUGAACAAAACAAGACAAUAUUCAUCAUCACCAUCAAUAUCUGCAGCAUCUGGUACUAUUGGGCAAAAAGCAACAGAACCCACAUCACAGCAAGAGAAAAUAAACAUAGAAUUAAAAAAAUAUGCUACAGACUAUAUAUGAAGAUCUUAAGACAAGAUUAGACAAGGUAGAUGGGAUAAUGUAAAAAAUGCAAGGAGAAUUGAAAGAAGUUAAAGAAAUGAUAGGGAAAAAUGAACAACGAUUGCAGUAAAUGGAAGAAAAAGCAGAAGCAACGGAGAAAAAAGUUGAAGAUAUGGACUAUAGACUUACAAUUACUGAUAAAAAUCAGGAAAAAACAAUUAUAACCCUGGAAAUGGGUAAAGCUGAUUUUUAUUUAAGAUUACAAAACAUUGAAGAAGAAAAGGGAGAAAAUUUAGCAGAGAAAAUUGCAGAGAUACUAGCAGAAGCGAUGGAAGAAAGUAAGGAAGGGAUAUUAAGUGGAAUUGACGAAAUAUACAGAGUGCACACAAGAUAUGCGAUAAGACAUAUCUCUCUCCUUCCAACCUAAGAAAAUACGAACUCUUGAAAUGUAGUUGUUCAAAAGGAUUCUUUUAUUAAGCAGAAGUGAAAACCAUCCAGCUAAAGCACAAUCUGAAUGCCCUUAGGCAAAGCAGUAGGAUUAACGUGGUAGAGACCCCUCCCUUUAAGUCAGAAUGCAGAUUUCAGCCAAUACACAAGUGUGAAGAUGUUUUCUUUACUAUUUCCUUUGAGAACCUGAACAAACAUGCAUUCCCACCACUACCCUUUAAAGUGAGACAACCCACAUGGCUAUCAUAAAAAUUCCUGCAGGUAAAGGGAAUCUCAGGCUUCCUUGGUGCCAGGAUAUAGGUUGUAAAAUAUCUGAUGACACAGGCCAUGCUAGUAAAUCGAAUCCAAGUCCCCCCUUCCUCCACUUGAAUGGCGGUAUCACUUUUAGGGAACUGACAUGCUACCCUGAGCCAGGCUAAGAUUCGAUAUUGGGAUAAAACUCAAAUAUUAGAAAUCCAAAUCUUUGGUCAAGACAGAAGUGCCUCUUCCAUGCCAAGGUGCUAAGCUGGCAAAAGGUAUUUGACGUAGGUACAGAAUUGUAAAAGGGCAAACUGACCCUAAACAGAUACAUUCUGUUGUUUAAUGUUUAUUGCAUCCCAAAUGUCAUGCAUAUCCCUGGAUAAGGGGUGCUGCUUCCUUAUUGCCCUUGAGGCGUCUCCUAGCCUCUUAUCUCCUUUUGUUAUGUCUUGAGCGCCGGAGCAGAGAACCUGAGUAUGUGACAAGAAGAUUGUUAUUUCCUUUCCCAGAGAUAGAUGAAAGGGCAGCUUCUACGUGUGAAAUGCAUCACUCUCUGUAAUAAUUUUGCCUUUAAACUGUAUAAAUACAUGGCCAGAAGAAGCCAUCGGUGUUCAGACCCUUCGCUGUCUUUGGACUGUUUGAACCUUGCGCAAUAAACUCUUUCCUGC